CUAUACAUGCAGUCGAGCGGACAGAAGGGAGCUUGCUCCCGGAUGUUAGCGGCGGACGGGUGAGUAACACGUGGGUAACCUGCCUGUAAGACUGGGAUAACUCCGGGAAACCGGAGCUAAUACCGGAUAGUUCCUUGAACCGCAUGGUUCAAGGAUGAAAGACGGUUUCGGCUGUCACUUACAGAUGGACCCGCGGCGCAUUAGCUAGUUGGUGGGGUAAUGGCUCACCAAGGCGACGAUGCGUAGCCGACCUGAGAGGGUGAUCGGCCACACUGGGACUGAGACACGGCCCAGACUCCUACGGGAGGCAGCAGUAGGGAAUCUUCCGCAAUGGACGAAAGUCUGACGGAGCAACGCCGCGUGAGUGAUGAAGGUUUUCGGAUCGUAAAGCUCUGUUGUUAGGGAAGAACAAGUGCGAGAGUAACUGCUCGCACCUUGACGGUACCUAACCAGAAAGCCACGGCUAACUA
rnacentral:rRNA from 1 species